rnacentral:rRNA from 1 species
GUGGGGAAUUUUGGACAAUGGGCGCAAGCCUGAUCCAGCCAUGCCGCGUGCAGGAAGACGGCCCUAUGGGUUGUAAACUGCUUUUAUACGGGAGCAAUAAGGUCUAUGCAUAGAUUGAUGAGAGUACCGUAUGAAUAAGCAUCGGCUAACUCCGUGCCAGCAGCCGCGGUAAUACGGAGGAUGCGAGCGUUAUCCGGAUUUAUUGGGUUUAAAGGGUGCGUAGGCGGCUUUGUAAGUCAGCGGUGAAAUUUUGCAGCUUAACUGUAAAAGCGCCGUUGAUACUGUGAAGCUAGGAUUUGGUUGCUGUGGGCGGAAUGUGUGGUGUAGCGGUGAAAUGCAUAGAGAUCACACAGAAUAUCGAUUGCGAAGGCAGCUCACAAAGCCAAUAUUGACGCUGAGGCACGAAAGUGUGGGGAUCAAACAGGAUUAGAUACCCGGGUAGUCC